UCAAUUGAUUUCUUUUGUUUUCUCUUUCAGCUAAUCUCCCCAGCAGGCCACAGGCAAUGUGAAGCAUUCAUCUAACCAACCAACAUUCUCGACUUAACAGUAUUGCCCUUUGCAGCAAAUGCCAAUUUCAAGUUCCAUUUAAUCAGAAGCUCCAUGGCUCUUGGAAACAUGCUGUUGAGCGCUGACUGUGUGUUCUACUGAAGGAGUAAAACACUGACUAUCCAAAGAGAAAAGGAUAUUUUGUUUUUAUAAUAAUCAUAUAUUAUUAUGUUCUUCUUCCCUUUCUAUGCAACUGUAAAUUAAUGAACAGAGUGGUAUUCGAAAGUGGUAACACAUUCAUCACUGAUUUGUAUACUGUAUACAGUUUUGGGAAAAUGGGUGGGGGCUUUCUAAUGUGAUACCUUCUUUUUAAUAACCAUGAAAAAAAUUGCAUAAGAAUAAGAAGACAGUUUUACAUUUUUACAUUCCUUCAUAUUAACCUUGUAUAAUAAUUUCAUUUAUUUCUUCCACUCUUUUGCCAUUAUGUUUUGGUUAUUUAUAAUUCAUCAGCCACACGACCAAAUAGAUUUUAUUUGUUUCCAUGAUUUGGCCAAAUUUAAUAAGUUCAUAUGUUUCAAUUAAAUAUUAUAUGUGUAUAGAUUAGGCCACAGCUUUGUGUAUACUUUUUAACCUUUAUUUGACAUCGUACACUUACUUCUUUAGCAACCACUUGGAUAAUCACGAUAAACAUCCUGUGGGCCUAAAUGGCAUUUCUUUGGGAUUUUUUUCCCCUAAAUUUUAUUUCCCUGCUCUAUAUAAGUAGGCCUUGAUUUCUCUAUUUAUUUCAUGCCCCAUUCCGUAUGAUAGGAUUAUAACAAUCUCAAAGAUCAUUUUACCAAAGAUUGCCCAUUUAAGCAUGUUUUCAUUUUGACACAGAAACGCAACUUGUUCCAACUUUUCUUAGUUCCCAGGCCUUGAUUUUCAUCUUUCAGUACACAGCAGACCUUUACCCAAUUGUGAUACCAGAACACAUGGCUCUCUUUGGUUCCCUUUGAAGAAAAUGUUAUAGUUGGUUAUAUAUAUUCAAGCUGUUUAUGAUUCUUUAAACCCCCGGUUAUUUUCCUCCUGAAAGCAGACACAAAUUUAACAAAUGUCUCAUUUUACCUUUUGAGUGAAUGAAGAGCUGUUUUAUUACCCUUCAUUUGAUCAAUUCAUUUGGGAACAAUGUUCAUCAAAAGCUUACAUCCCUGCUUCUAUAGAAGAAUGAAAUUAAUGCUUAGAUGUUGGAACCUGGGCCUAUGCCUUUGAGCGCAUUCAGUUAAGUAUUUGGAUAAGCUUCUGAUUUAACAUGUAUUUGAUUCCUUUUAAACAUGUCAUGUAAUUUACUUACUGUAAAGAAACCAAAAAAAGAAGUGAAAAUAAUGUGUUUUGGUUCAAGUACAUGUGCUUUUAAAACAUCAGGACCUUUUAACUUUGAGUUCUCUCUAACUGGGAUCUGGCCAGAAGGAGGCUUAAAGUUAGAAACUCCUAUUCUUUUAGAAUAGGUUGGGUGGGUUGGGGGGCAAGGGUGUCUAUUUGCAGCAAAGAUAUUUUGAGAAGAAGAAAAUUGUUUUAUAUAAGAGGAAAGCCAUGACCACCUUUCUACCUCAGAUCCAUCUUCAUUCAUCGUGUUGGAAAUAGCUUUAUGCUGCUGCAGUCUGAAAAAUCUAGAGCUUCUAUCAGACCACAUCAUACUCAAUAAAAGUACCUAUUUAAAGAAAAAAAAUUCCCCAAACUCUAAACUACAAGUUGUAGAUUUGGUGUCUUCCUUGUCCUCACUUUGAAAAGUUAUGUAUUAAUUUUUUUCUGCCUGUAAUUGUGUGCAACAUGUUCUUUAUCUGCUAAUGAUGAAAAGCUACAUAAAACACUACAUUGUAACCUUCUAAGUAAUAGUG
rnacentral:lncRNA from 1 species